GUGCCCGAACAGUGUCGCACUAAUUGGUUGAUUUUAAUUGAUUUGCGAACGUCUGAAAACACCCAAAAACACCUUUCCGGACUCUCCGAAGGCAGGGGUUGCUGGUUCGAUCCCAGCCGGGCGCGCCA
rnacentral:tRNA from 1 species